UAGGGAAUCUUCCACAAUGGACGCAAGUCUGAUGGAGCAACGCCGCGUGAGUGAAGAAGGUUUUCGGACCGUAAAGCUCUGUUGUUGGUGAAGAAGGAUAGAGGUAGUAACUGGCCUUUAUUUGACGGUAAUCAACCAGAAAGUCACGGCUAACUACGUGCCAGCAGCCGCGGUAAUACGUAGGUGGCAAGCGUUGUCCGGAUUUAUUGGGCGUAAAGCGAGCGCAGGCGGAAGAAUAAGUCUGAUGUGAAAGCCCUCGGCUUAACCGAGGAAUUGCAUCGGAAACUGUUUUCUUGAGUGCAGAAGAGGAGAGUAGAACUCCAUGUGUAGCGGUGGAAUGCGUAGAUAUAUGGAAGAAUACCAGUGGCGAAGGCGGCUCUCUGGUCUGCAACUGACGCUGAGGCUCGAAAGCAUGGGUAGCGAACAGGAUUAGAUACCCUGGUAGUCCAUGCCGUAAACGAUGAGUGCUAAGUGUUGGGAGGCUUCCGCCUCUCAGUGCUGCAGCUAACGCAUU
rnacentral:rRNA from 1 species